CCCUGCCAGCUUGCUGCCGUCUGUUUGAAUUCCGGCGGCAGCAGCAAGGCCUCAGCGGCGCAGCGCGGCUCCUUUUGUGGCGCACGUGGCCUCGGGAGGCUUUGUCUCGGCUGGGCCAGGUGCUCAGCGCCGAGCCUCUCCAGCCUCAUCGGGAGAUCCAGAAGUCAGCAGCGCGGGAUCGGCAGCGAGGCGGGGCUCAGCGAGGCUUGGUGGCAUCUGCGGCAUCGGGGCUUACAGCAGCAAGGCUAGGGCCCUUGCGAGGCCCUGCGGUUUCGGCAGCGGCAGCAGCAGCGGAUCCCAGGAAGCCUCGGUGGAGGCCUGUGGCGCAGCUGGGGUCUCGUGCUGGAAGAGGACCUAUUGGCAGCGGCAACCCCUUCCAGGCCCGGCGCCUCUGCGGCAGCGCGGGAUCGGGGCCAACGGCAGCGAGGACCACAGGCUAGGCGGCCUUUGCAAGACUGGACGCACUGGAGGCCGGGCCCAGGGUGGAGGCAAGGACGCCUAGCAUGGAGACAGAAGCAGCGCCCACCUUGCAAGCAGCCCCGACAAUGCAGCCCACACAGGGACCUUCAGCAGACAGCACUCAGGACCGCUGGACAAGAUCGGAGCAGCCACGCAUCCUCCUCUGCGGCCACAGCAUGGUUUUCUGGGCCGGCCGCAGGGCGGUGAAAUCUCGCUUCGGCACGCAACUGGGGCUCAGUCAAUGUGCCUCGGUGCGGUGGCUGGGACGUCGGGGGAUGCGUUGGAAAGAUGCUUGUUCCUGCCGUUUAGACCCGGGCCCUAACACUCAUGAGAGCUGUUUCUGUGCCCUUCCAGACAUAAUGGAACAUCUGUGUGUUGAUGGUGCCUUAUCCAGGCCCAUUCCUCAGUUCUCACUGAAAUAUCUUCCAUCAAACUUUAUGUGUGCCUGAUGAUUUGAAAUAUGUACCUCAUGAUUUUUUGUCAUGUAGGCAUAUAAAAAAUACUACAUUUAUAAUUUACCAGUCCAUUAUUUGGAACAAAUUGUGACUUUAAUCUCAUUUUUCUCUUCAUUUGAGUCCCCCAAUCCCAUUUUUCUCUUCAUUGCAACAACCCUUUACUUUGCACAAAGACGGCUCUGUUCCAUGUGGUCUCUAAGGGAACAAAUGCAGAUUGGCAGAGAAUACAUUAACACAGAAAAUGUUUAACUAGAGGGUAUAGUAUUGUACUUACAACUUAUAAACAUGAGCCAAAAGCACAGUGUAUAGAACGUGUUGAAUGUAUAGCUUAUAUAUGUAUAUAUUUUGGAUGUUUCCCUUUGUCAGCUCUGUUGGCAGGGAUCUGUU